UUUCAGCAGCCCCACUGGUCCAUCAGGAGCUCUGGGAGAUUUCCUGGGGGUUCAAGGAUUCAGUAACCUCAUGUGAGGCUUUGUACAUCACAGCCUUAAAGGAUGAGUGAUUUAAAGCUUGUCAGAAUAAAUCAAAUGAAUUUACAGGGAAGUCUGAUGCAGCAGAAGUCCCAGCACCUGUCUUCUGGUUUGGAACAUCAGAUCUGUUGAACAUCACCAACAAUCAUUCAUCUGGAAAUCUGCUGAUUAAAAAUAACUGAUUCAAGGUAUCCAAGAUUUGGCCCUAAAGCUAUUCCCAAUGCAGACCUCAAAAUUCAUCUCAGUUGAGCUAUCAAAUAGUUGACCUUCACCAAUUUCUAUUUAAGAUUUUUCAUUGUCAGAAUUUGAAGUUAUAAGGAAAAGAAAAUUCAUCAUGGCAAACACUGUUUGUGCUGCCCACCUUUUGUUCAGCAGGACACUUCAAGCCAUGAAGCAUCCCAUGUCCUUACAGCACCUGCAAGCCCUGGCAGUGCCAGGCACUCCUCCAGGACUGCUCUGACCCUGCAGACCUUUCAAGGAGAAGCAUAAAAAUAGCAGCCAGCCCAAAGCUCAGUGUCAGGUGGGUCAUAUAAAACACAAGGUGGAAUUUGAUUCCCAUCUCAGCUGCAUCAGUACUUGAAGGCACCUGACAUGUGAA